UACGGGGGGGGCAAGCGUUGUUCGGAAUUACUGGGCGUAAAGGGCUCGUAGGUGGCCAACUAAGUCAUACGUGAAAUCCCUCGGCUUAACCGGGGAACUGCGUCUGAUACUGGAUGGCUUGAGGUUGGGAGAGGGAUGCGGAAUUCCUGGUGUAGCGGUGAAAUGCGUAGAUAUCAGGAGGAACACCGGUGGCGAAGGCGGCUUUCUGGACAGACACCGACGCUGAGGCACGAAAGCUAGGGGAGCAAACAGGAU
rnacentral:rRNA from 1 species